GCAAGUCGAGGGGUAACAUAAUUGAUCUUGCUUAAUUGAUGACCACCGGCGCACGGGUGCGUAACGCGUAUUCAACCUACCUCUUACUUGGGAAUAGCCAGAAGAAAUUCUGAUUAAUGCCCCAUAGUAUUGUUUUUUCGCAUGUUAAGACAAUUAAAGGUUACGGUAAGAGAUGGGCAUGCGUCCUAUUAGCUAGAUGGUAAGGUAACGGCUUACCAUGGCAGCGAUAGGUAGGGGGCCUGAGAGGGUGAUC
rnacentral:rRNA from 1 species